rnacentral:rRNA from 1 species
GACGAACGCUGGCGGCGUGCUUAACACAUGCAAGUCGAACGGAAAGGCCCGGCUUUUGUUGGGUGCUCGAUUGGCGAACGGGGGAGUAACACGUGAGGAACCUCCCCUUGUCUUUGUGAUAACUUCACGGAACUGGGGCUAAUACCGGAUAGGAUCUCCUGCUGCAUAGGGUUGGUUGGAAAGUUUCGGCUGUUGUGGAUGUACUCGCGGCUUAUCAGCUUGUUUGUGUGGUAGUGGCUUCCCAAGGCUAUGACGGGUAGCCGGCCUGAGAGGGUGAACGGCGACAUUGGGACUGCGAUACGGACCAGAAUCGUACCGGCGGCAGCAGUGGGGAAUAUUGCACAACGGGCGCAAGCGUGAUGUAGAAACGUCGCGUGCGGGAUGACGGCCUUCGGGUUGUAAACAGAUUUCGACUGUGCCGAAGACUGCGUGACGGUAAUGGGUCAAGAAGCCCCGGCUAACUACGUG